AACUGAAAAAGAAGAAAAAAGAAAAAAUUAAUUACUUGUUUAAUAUGAUUCCGAAGCGAUAGGGUUCUUGAAGAGAAAGGGGGAAAAAGAAUAAAGUGCGAUGAAUUAAAGAAGAAAAGACGGCAAAUCUUCUUUUGCAAAAUUCAGAAGCCAUUAGACAAAAACAAAAUGAAGGAACAUUCCCAAUCAUCUCAUCUCAUCUCAAAUUCGAAUAAACAGAAGGUUACGAUGAGAUAAUCGCGAAGAAAAUGUUCGGAAGGAAUAAAACCUUGGGAAUGCCGGAAGCGCGUUGCCGGUCGCGUCUACGGCGUUUUUUAAUCGAAACGCGAUGAGAUCUCAAGCGACGGAGGGCGAUUUUAUUGGCGAGUUCAUCGACAUCACGAGGGGGAAGCGCAUUGCUACUGUGUUUAGCCUCUUUGAUUGCGAGGCAGAGGAAGUUGUGCCACUGAGAAAGAGAGGCGUCCAUUGGUUGUUUCGUUGGGGAAGAUUGGAAGUGCCUUUAUCUGUGUGAUCGAACAUGGAGUUAGGUUGAGAGGCGAGGCGAAGGGGCGCCAUUAGCAGUAGAGUUUGGUGAUGUUGAAGACCCACCAUGGGGAUUCUUUGCAGGAAUGGGGACUCCAUUGAAGGAAGAAAAAACAGAAACGAGGCUAAUGUUAGAAGGGUUCGUAGGACGAAUCAUUCAUAGCCAUAAAACAACGAAAAUCAAAGAACGACAUUCGGCCGCACGACGAUCUACUGGAAACCAUCUGUAAACCUUCUUUUGAUACUGAUCUUCAUGGCCGGAGAGGAUCCGGUGUCUUUAUCCGCCCACCGAUGCUCCGAUGUAUGACGGAUAUUCCGGCGGAGUACUCCGGUGAAAGAACUCGAAUCAUCGCCAUGAUAAGCCAGACGAGAUGGUGAGAGAGAAAUUAGGGCUAAUGGAACAUGGAAAAUCGAAUUCGAGCAUCCGAGAUUGGAGGUAUAAUGUGUAAUCGCAUAGAUUUUAUAUAGUUUUAGACUAUAAUGAAGAUGAAGUUCAGAUUUUCGUUCUAAUUUUGCCGCGUUUUAAAAAUUGAAGUCGUCGGAAUUUUCCUUUCAGAAACAUUUUCCCGGAAAAUCAAGAUUUUCUUAGAUCUUGUAAGUUUCGUUGAGUUCUUCUGAAAUUGAACGUCUUCAUAGUAGUUGG